GAUCCACUCCGGGUUUUCCGUAGCCGGAAGUCCGGAUCCUUUACGAUGCACGCAAGACUACGUUACAGAUCACCGGAGUACAUUAUACAGGCAAAUAAAGAUAAGGAGGUCCCACGACAGCAGGUAGCUGCUCCAGCUAUCUGUCACUGGAGUGGUUUGCUGUCGAGGGAGAAAAAGGGCUCUGCCUCAGGGGCAUCACGGCUCCACAGAUCCUACCCAAUGCAGAGUGUUUCUGCCCUCCUGAUGGCCCCUGUAUUUUAGAAGGAUUCUUCCCUUUCGCUUGCUUAAACCAUCAGCAUUUCAUCGGCAUUGGUGUCCUUCCUGAAGCGGGGUAGAAUACUCUGCACUGUGCUGAGGGUUAUAUCACUCAGGAACACAGCAGACUGUGUUGAACAACAACAACAACAAUACACCCUCUACAGCCUUUGAACACUUCUACAAGAAACCAAAAUCUAAAACAUGCCAAACAAAAGGCAGCAACAAGGAAAUGUGUUGGUUAGCAUUACUAUUGUAAAUGCUUUGAUUACCACACUAACCCUUAAGCAUAAGUUAUGAAAUUACUUACUUAUACUGAAACUUUGAGAAACAAAAUAGGAAAAAAUAAAACUUGUUUGGCAUUAC